rnacentral:lncRNA from 1 species
AACGCGCGAAUACACCUCCACAUCUGGUUUCACGCGAAACGAUCCAUACAAUGUCGCACCUUUCGCAAAAAUACCGUUUUGCCAUCUAAGACCUCUCCUCGAACAACGCGCAUUAUCCGCAGAUCUGUCCGUCAGAUUUGCGAACGGAUCACGCCAGUGCGAUCAGCACAACGAAGACAACAAACCCACGAUUUUGGUUCACCUCGAUCGAUCACGGAUUCGCAGCGGAACCCGUUCUCUCUCCGAAAGGCGAAAUGACGCACAAAUACAUAUAAUACAUGUAUUUUCAGAAU